GCGCCCUUAGCUCAGCAGGAUAGAGCAACAGCCUUCUAAGCUGUGGGUCGGUGGUUCGAAUCCACCAGGGCGCACCA
rnacentral:tRNA from 1 species